UUGAAAUCUGGCGUCUUUGGCGUCCGAGUUGUAAUUUGCAGAGGAUGCUUCGGCGUUGGCGCCGCCCAAAGUUCCUUGGAACGGGACGUCGCAGAGGGUGAGAGCCCCGUGUUCGGGCGGAUGCCUUCGCCGUGUGAAGCUCCUUCGACGAGUCGAGUUGUUUGGGAAUGCAGCUCAAAACGGGAGGUAAAUUUCUUCCAAAGCUAAAUACCGGCCGGAGACCGAUAGUGCACAAGUAGAGUGAUCGAAAGAUGAAAAGCACUUUGGAAAGAGAGUCAAACAGCGCGUGAAAUUGUUAAAAGGGAAGCGCUUGCGGUCAGAACUUGGCCGCCGUUGCUCGGGGAGGUCUCGCGCCUCCCUCGCUCUUCGGCGGCUGGGCCAGCAUCGGUUCGGGCGGCUCGAGAAAGGUCGCGGGAAUGUAGCUCCCUCCGGGGAGUGUUAUAGCCCGCGGCGCAAUAGGGCCCGCCUGGACCGAGGUCUGCGCAUUUGCUCGGAUGCUGGCGUAAUGGCCCCAAGCGGCCCGUCUUGAAACACGGACCAAGGAGUCUAACAUUCGUGCGAGUGUUCGGGUGUCAAACCCGUGCGCGCAAUGAAAGUGAACGUAGGUGGGAACCCCUCGUGGGCGCACCAUCGACCGAUCCUGAUGUCUUCGGAUGGAUUUGAGUAUGAGCACGUAUGUUGGGACCCGAAAGAUGGUGAACUAUGCCUAAGCAGGGCGAAGCCAGAGGAAACUCUGGUGGAGGCUCGCAGCGGUUCUGACGUGCAAAUCGAUCGUCAAAUUUGGGUAUAGGGGCGAAAGACUAAUCGAACCAUCUAGUAGCUGGUUCCUGCCGAAGUUUCCCUCAGGAUAGCAGCAACGUAGGCAGUUUUAUGAGGUAAAGCGAAUGAUUAGAGGCCUGGGGGUUGUAACAACCUUCACCUAUUCUCAAACUUUAAAUGUGUAAGAAGUCCUUGUUACUUAGUUGAACGUGGACAUUCGAAUGCAACGUUGCUAGUGGGCCAUUUUUGGUAAGCAGAACUGGCGAUGCGGGAUGAACCGAACGCGAUGUUAAGGUGCCAGAAUGCACGCUCAUCAGACACCACAAAAGGUGUUAGUUCAUCUAGACAGCAGGACGGUGGCCAUGGAAGUCGGAAUCCGCUAAGGAGUGUGUAACAACUCACCUGCCGAAUGAACUAGCCCUGAAAAUGGAUGGCGCUCAAGCGUGCUACCUAUACAUCGCCGCCGGGGUGGCGGGUUAGCCCCGGCGAGUAGGCAGGCGCGGAGGCUAG
rnacentral:rRNA from 1 species